GGACCAUAGCACUGCUUUUCAGCAUCUUCUGAGCCUGGUUUUCAGUGUUAGAGCUUCUGUGUUCCAGAUGAGCCCCAAAUCGAACCUACUUUAGAACUGGGCCCUGGUCACUAACCUAGUCCAUAACCAAGCUCUGGCUCCUGGCUUUUGAGAUCCUGAAAGCAGUUUCUACCCUCCAUCUAAGCUUGAGUUGCCGGUUCCUGCCCCACGUGUGCUAGAACUGAGCGUCUGUCCCAGGAACCUGUGGACCCAGCCCCCUGCCCCCAGCAUGCUUUGCACCAGCAACCUGGUUCUCAAAUGCUUUGACCUCGAGUUCCGUUUCUCCUCAUCCUCACUGGAGCAGAAUGAGGCUGCUUUCAGUGGGAAUUUGGACCUGCAGUACAAUUUGAAUUAAUACAGUACAAAAAUACAAAUGUCUUGUCUCCUAUGCAGGUCUGAAAAGGAGGGAGUCUCCCCAAAUUAC
rnacentral:lncRNA from 1 species